GAUGAACGCUGGCGGCGUGCGUAACACAUGCAAGUUGAACGACGGUGCCAUGAAGUGGUAACACGGAGUGGUAUACGGAGUAGCGGACGGGUGAGUAAAGCAUGAGAAUCUGUCCUGUCGAGGGGGAUAACGUUCGGAAACGGACCCUAAUACCCCAUAGUCCGAGAGGUUAAAGGCAGCGAUGCGCGGCAGGAGGAGCUCGUGUCCUAUCAGCUGGUUGGUGAGGUAACGGCUCACCAAGGCUUCGACGGGUAGCCGGCCUGAGAGGGUGACCGGCCACACUGGAACUGAGAAACGGUCCAGACUCCUACGGGAGGCAGCAGUGGGGAAUAUUGGGCAAUGGGAGGAAUCCUGACCCAGCGACGCCGCGUGAACGAAGACGGCCUUCGGGUUGUAAAGUUCUUUUAUGUGGGAAGAAUGAAGUGACGGUACCACAUGAAUAGCCGG
rnacentral:rRNA from 1 species